rnacentral:rRNA from 3 species
UUAAGCGACUAAGCGUACACGGUGGAUGCCCUGGCAGUCAGAGGCGAUGAAGGACGUGCUAAUCUGCGAAAAGCGUCGGUAAGGUGAUAUGAACCGUUAUAGCCGGCGAUGUCCGAAUGGGGAAACCCAGUGCAAUUCGUUGCACUAUCGUUAACUGAAUACAUAGGUUAACGAGGCGAACCGGGGGAACUGAAACAUCUAAGUACCCCGAGGAAAAGAAAUCAACCGAGAUUCCCCCAGUAGCGGCGAGCGAACGGGGAGCAGCCCAGAGUCUGAAUCAGCUUGUGUGUUAGUGGAACGGUCUGGAAAGUCCGACGGUACAGGGUGAUAGUCCCGUACACCAAAAUGCACAGGUUGUGAACUCGAAGAGUAGGGCGGGACACGUGGUAUCCUGUCUGAAUAUGGGGGGACCAUCCUCCAAGGCUAAAUACUCCUGACUGACCGAUAGUGAACCAGUACCGUGAGGGAAAGGCGAAAAGAACCCCGGCGAGGGGAGUGAAAAAGAACCUGAAACCGUGUACGUACAAGCAGUGGGAGCACCUUCGGGUGUGACUGCGUACCUUUUGUAUAAUGGGUCAGCGACUUAUAUUCUGUAGCAAGGUUAACCGUAUAGGGGAGCCGCAGGGAAACCGAGUCUUAACUGGGCGUUAAGUUGCAGGGUAUAGACCCGAAACCCGGUGAUCUAGCCAUGGGCAGGUUGAAGGUUGGGUAACACUAACUGGAGGACCGAACCGACUAAUGUUGAAAAAUUAGCGGAUGACUUGUGGCUGGGGGUGAAAGGCCAAUCAAACCGGGAGAUAGCUGGUUCUCCCCGAAAGCUAUUUAGGUAGCGCCUCGUGAACUCAUCUUCGGGGGUAGAGCACUGUUUCGGCUAGGGGGUCAUCCCGACUUACCAACCCGAUGCAAACUACGAAUACCGAAGAAUGUUAUCACGGGAGACACACGGCGGGUGCUAACGUCCGUCGUGAAGAGGGAAACAACCCAGACCGCCAGCUAAGGUCCCAAAGUCAUGGUUAAGUGGGAAACGAUGUGGGAAGGCACAGACAGCCAGGAUGUUGGCUUAGAAGCAGCCAUCAUUUAAAGAAAGCGUAAUAGCUCACUGGUCGAGUCGGCCUGCGCGGAAGAUGUAACGGGGCUAAACCAUGCACCGAAGCUGCGGCAGCGACACUAUGUGUUGUUGGGUAGGGGAGCGUUCUGUAAGCCUGCGAAGGUGACCUGUGAGGGUUGCUGGAGGUAUCAGAAGUGCGAAUGCUGACAUAAGUAACGAUAAAGCGGGUGAAAAGCCCGCUCGCCGGAAGACCAAGGGUUCCUGUCCAACGUUAAUCGGGGCAGGGUGAGUCGACCCCUAAGGCGAGGCCGAAAGGCGUAGUCGAUGGGAAACAGGUUAAUAUUCCUGUACUUGGUGUUACUGCGAAGGGGGGACGGAGAAGGCUAUGUUAGCCGGGCGACGGUUGUCCCGGUUUAAGCAUGUAGGCUGAUUGUCCAGGCAAAUCCGGAUAAUCAAGGCUGAGGUGUGAUGACGAGGCACUACGGUGCUGAAGUAACAAAUGCCCUGCUUCCAGGAAAAGCCUCUAAGCAUCAGGUAACAUUAAAUCGUACCCCAAACCGACACAGGUGGUCAGGUAGAGAAUACCAAGGCGCUUGAGAGAACUCGGGUGAAGGAACUAGGCAAAAUGGUGCCGUAACUUCGGGAGAAGGCACGCUGGUGUGUAGGUGAAGCCCCUGCGGGUGGAGCUGAGACCAGUCGAAGAUACCAGCUGGCUGCAACUGUUUAUUAAAAACACAGCACUGUGCAAACACGAAAGUGGACGUAUACGGUGUGACGCCUGCCCGGUGCCGGAAGGUUAAUUGAUGGGGUUAUCCGUAAGGAGAAGCUCUUGAUCGAAGCCCCGGUAAACGGCGGCCGUAACUAUAACGGUCCUAAGGUAGCGAAAUUCCUUGUCGGGUAAGUUCCGACCUGCACGAAUGGCGUAAUGAUGGCCAGGCUGUCUCCACCCGAGACUCAGUGAAAUUGAACUCGCUGUGAAGAUGCAGUGUACCCGCGGCAAGACGGAAAGACCCCGUGAACCUUUACUAUAGCUUGACACUGAACAUUGAGCCUUGAUGUGUAGGAUAGGUGGGAGGCUUUGAAGCGUGGACGCCAGUCUGCGUGGAGCCAACCUUGAAAUACCACCCUUUAAUGUUUGAUGUUCUAACGUUGGCCCCUUACCGGGGUUGCGGACAGUGUCUGGUGGGUAGUUUGACUGGGGCGGUCUCCUCCCAAAGCGUAACGGAGGAGCACGAAGGUUAGCUAAUCCUGGUCGGACAUCAGGAGGUUAGUGCAAUGGCAUAAGCUAGCUUGACUGCGAGCGUGACGGCGCGAGCAGGUGCGAAAGCAGGUCAUAGUGAUCCGGUGGUUCUGAAUGGAAGGGCCAUCGCUCAACGGAUAAAAGGUACUCCGGGGAUAACAGGCUGAUACCGCCCAAGAGUUCAUAUCGACGGCGGUGUUUGGCACCUCGAUGUCGGCUCAUCACAUCCUGGGGCUGAAGUAGGUCCCAAGGGUAUGGCUGUUCGCCAUUUAAAGUGGUACGCGAGCUGGGUUUAGAACGUCGUGAGACAGUUCGGUCCCUAUCUGCCGUGGGCGCUGGAGAAUUGAGGGGGGCUGCUCCUAGUACGAGAGGACCGGAGUGGACGCAUCACUGGUGUUCGGGUUGUCAUGCCAAUGGCACUGCCCGGUAGCUAAAUGCGGAAGAGAUAAGUGCUGAAAGCAUCUAAGCACGAAACUUGCCCCGAGAUGAGUUCUCCCUGAGACUUUAAGUCUCCUGAAGGAACGUUAAAGACGAUGACGUUGAUAGGCCGGGUGUGUAAGCGCAGCGAUGCGUUGAGCUAACCGGUACUAAUGAACCGUGAGGCUUAACCUU